GUGGACAUACAAUUUCUGCUUUCAAGAAGUUUGAUCCAUCCUCCGCAUCCAAUAUUAUUUGUUUCUCUGAUAAGGAAAUUCCAGUGUGGUUCAGAAAUGAGAUGUCGUAUCAGAUGUCUUCUAGGUCCAGGGUGGGAAUCAAACUACCUCCAAGAUUGCUUGAGGAUAGGAAUUGGAGAGGACUUGGUGUAUGUGUUGCCUUUGAAGUUCAUGACCAGAUUGCAACUACCUCCCCAGGGCCGGUCAAACUUCUCUGUCACUUGAGAGCCAAGGACAACUAUUGCUUGAAUCCUAUCCCCAUGUGUUCCAUAACAGAAGAGAGAUACAAGUCAUUGCAUCUUGGUAGAUUCAUUUGGCUAACCUACAUACCCCGUAUUUUGCUAACAGAGCUCAAUGUGGUCAGUGAUGUAGAGGCCAGAAUCUAUGUUAGUUGCAGAGGCUUGAGAGUGGAGAAGUGUGGUAUACGUCUGUUGUACCGGCAAGAAGAGGUGGAGUUUGAGGAAAUAAUAAGGGAGUGCUGGACUUCUUUCUUUGAUAAUCUGUCUUUUAUCCGUCAACUUGUAGAAGCAGAUGAUCAAAAUGAUCAACUAUGGACAAGGCAUGAACCUCCAAUGCUUGAAGGCCAUAUCAAGGUCUGUUUACCCCCCUCUGCCUUUCAUCCAUUUAACUCCGUCAGUUACACUUACACAAAUGUGCAUUUUAUUUUGUAGGUCUUUGAUCCAGAUUUAAUAUAUAAUGCAAUUCCCCAUUCUAAUGAAAUUCCGGAGUGGUUCGGGCGUGGCAUUGACCCCUGGCCUGACUGCUGGAGCUGGAGAUUCCAGUUACCACCGUCUUUGAAUGGAACAAAUUGGAUAGGAUUGGCUAUCUGUGCAUCAUAUCUUAUUAGCAGAGACUAUCUGUUGGAAAGUAUUUCCUGCCCCUUUAUUUUAAAAUUGGAAACUAGAAACAAUGGUUUGUCAUCUUCGCAUCGGUAUCAAAUGAGCAAUGAAGAAUCCGAGUUCUUAAAGCAUUGUGACCACAUUGGGAGGAAUGUCGCUGGUGAAUUCAUCUGGCUCUCCUACAUUCCGCGACGCUGGUUUCUACAUCAGCUAAAUGAUGAGUCUGCCCUCAAUGUUUCAGUGACUCGAAUGUGGUGGAAGCCGGAGAAGAUCAGCCUCCGUUUUUUGUACGCGCAUGAGGGGGAAGAGUUUAAGCAGCUCUGUUGCAGUCUUCAUGGAUCCCCUCCCCAACAGUAAAAAGAUCACAGUGACGGGAUAUGAGAUUUUAUUUCUUGUAUUGUAACUUCAAUUAACUUAUCAAGACAUGGAUGGAACUUGUGAUCAAUUUGUAAGCACCUAUACAAUAUUUAAAGGGCAAUUGCUGAGACUGGAAUAUAGCUCUAGUUCACAAUAGCAGAAAAUUCACCCACCUUUCGCUUGCCCACCCUAACGCCCCUCUUUCAAAUCAAUGUCAUAUCUCUUUGCUAAACAAUGAUAACCUCAAAGAUCCAAAGAAACAUACAUGUGCCAUUAAUUUGGAAGAUGGCACAUCUUGCUAGUUUUAGUUUUGUUUGGUCAAAUAAGCAAGGUGACACAGGGUUUAGGGUUUAUGUAUGUGCAAAUUAUAUGAUUGAUAUAAUCUAUAUUAUGUGACUUCACUAUGUGCAGAUUAUAUGAUCGAAUGAUCGAUAUUAUCUAUAUGAAUGUUAAAGAAAGAUAGGCUUAUUGUGACUUCAAAUUUUGCACAUAGUGAAUGUAAAUAAAGACAGGCUUACUGUGUUAGUCCUCAGGAUCCGAGAAUAUCUGCUCUACAUUCGAAUUAUCUAGUGGUGUGGUGUGCACCGUGUGCUGCUGACCAUUCAAACAUGUUACAAAAAUCAAAGUCAGCAUACUAGCUAUAGGAAAGUUGGUAUUACUACCAAAAACUGAUAAAAUUUUACCAUGUUCUAUAAAGGCUAAAUAAAACGUAUUCAACGUAAUGUCUUCACUACCACUACCAUGAGUGCAUGACCAUCAUCAGCCGCAUCCUCCGAUGAGGGCAGUUGUAAAGGCUCAACUAAAUAUAAUCAAAGAAGAUUGCUAGACCGAUAAACAAAUAUGAAUUGUUCCACAACCAUCAAACAUCUAAAUAUAAUCAAGCAAAAUAUCAAGAAAAGUUUCAGUAACAAUAUCAAGAUGAGUAAAAGAUCUCAGCUUCAGGCUCAUCAUCUUCCAAAUGAGUGUUUGAGUGCUCAUUCAACAUCUCGCGCAUACUAUGCUAAUCUUGCAUAAAAUCUAAAUAUAAUCAAAUAGAUUAAUAGACCAUCAAAUACUCUUUUAUGUAGUUUAUUAAAAAAGGAAAAGAAAAAAAAAGGAAAUCUAGACAAAGUCAAGAUGAGUUAAAACCUGUUGCGCCAAAUGAAUGUUUGAGUCACGAAGUCAAACAUAAACACUAACUCUUUCUUGGCUAAGUGGGUUUCAAGGACAUGCGAAUUGGUUACAAUUCGUAAUUUAGUAUAAACCAAUCAACCAUACAGCAAUAGAGAUAGCCGAUUAAUUAUGAAAAAUUGUUUGAAAGUGAUUCCAUAGUAAACAUGUGGAUGAUCAUUACCAAAAAAAAAAAAGUUUGAGCAACAACUCGAUCAAUUUCCAACUCUAUCAAUUAUACUCUCAUGUGGGUGCAAAUUGUUUUCUACAAAAUUGAGGGUAGUCAAGUGAUUUCAGAGGUUACCAUAAUUAAGGUUGACAUCGGAGAGUGUGAUUUCUCCAAAAUUGUCUCCAAGAUCUCCUGAUCUACGAAACUGCAAAAAAAUUGAAAAGGGUUUGAUUUAAUUACUUAGACAAAACAAUUCUAAAAGUGUAGUACGUUGGUGAGGAGAACUCACUGAUAGGGAGGUUUGUGGCCGAGGUCGAGGAGACAUAAGUUGCUUUGAGCUAUUUUAGACUGACGAAUAAUCAUAUCCUUCUCUUGUUGUUGUAUCAAUCUGCAAACAAAUUCAGAAGGGUUUGAUUUGGGGGUCUAAUUUGAACUAUUUUAGACUGACGAACAAUCAUAUCCUUCUCUUGUUGUUGUAUCAACCUACAAACGAAUUCAAAAGGGUUUGAUUUGGGGGUCUGAUUCACUUAGAAAAACAAUGUUAGAAUCCUAGAAGUGUAGUUGGUGAAAAGAACUUACCAGCUGGCUCGAUUGUUGCUGAGAUUUAGUACAGAUUUCCUUGAAUCAUUUUGGACUCUUGAAUAAUCGUAUCUUACAUUCCUUGUACUUGAUGAUGUUGAACUCAACGACGGGCUAGAAUGUUGCUUAGAUUUUGGUAUGUUGACGCACCAUGCAGAUCAUAAGAAAUAAUAUUUAGAAAAAACAAAUAAUGUUGAUUUUGACAUAAUAAUGUAUUAUAAUAAAGGUAGUCUAUAAAAUUACCUCUUAAAGCUUUUCUCAAAAGGGACUCGCUCCGACGUUCCCACUCCUGAAUAUAUUCAUUAUAAUCAACCUUCCAUUUUUCACUAGUAUACUUGGACCAGUUAAUCUCCCCUAAAGGUUUUUUCUGCCACAUAUAAAUGUUUAGCUCCUCUGGUUUAUUAAUGUCAUACUGCUUUGACAUAGAUCAGGGCUAUGAUAUAUCACCUCGUUAUAAUAAAUUAGUAUAGUUCUACAUAAAAAGUUUUUAUGGAUGAUAAUCAUUAUGCAGGUUUUGUAGAUUUUUGUAAUGUUGUUGAUCAAAACAUUAUAUAUGGAUUGUAUGAAUUGCCUAAACAAAAAUUCUUGAACAACGAACAACCUAUACAACCUACAAUAAGACAAAUCAUAACAAUCAAUCAAUAUUAGGUGAUUUUGCUAUGACUAAAUACAAUAGUAAGACUAAAGCAAGAAUCAUAUUUCAAUUUUAUAUAGACUAAAGCAAGCAUACGGUGUUGUCUCAUCAAAACCUUACAUAUUCAUUGUUAGGGAGCAUCACAUGAUCGAGUUUUUAAUGAAGUAAUAGGUGCGUUGCACUCUUUUCUCCUUCGAUCAAGAUUUAGUUUUUCCCAUAGGGUUUUUGUUAAGUACCAAAGCUCAUAAACAAUAGGAAUUGGGAGUAUACCUUAUGCAUAUUCAUUGUUCAAGCCUAUGCAUAUAUAUAGUAGCCUUUACAAAGAAAACUAAAAAACAACAAAAUGCAAUACAUCUCAUCAGAUUUAUAAGUAGAGAUUAAUAGAAAAUGAUUAAACUAGCCUUACUCUAAACAUUCUCCCUCAAAUGCCUAUGACAAACUAGCAUAAUAGUUGGUAGUUGGUACAAAGCCACAACAAAUAAGACCGGAUUACAUGAUGUAGAGCCAAAGACAAAACAAACAUCCCAAAAUCAAAAAUCCUAUAUCAGAGCAGCAAUAUGAGUCCAUCUCUUUAGAACUUUGUUGAUUGCAGUACAAACAGCUGAGAAGAGAUCAACAAUGGCACCAGGGCAUCAAGCAAUCCACAAUAACGAAGAAAACCUGAAAAAUUCUCUCAUUUGGCGGAUGAAUAAUAAAUAUUGUAUGUCUUUUUUAAUCGUUGUAAAGUUUAUUCAACGGUCCAAGUUUGAAGUGGGCAACUUGUAAAUUCGCUGGUUAUAGGUAAAACCUACAUAAACCCCCCAAUUUAACCGCAUCUCUGACAUCAGCCUCCGUCCCGCCACAGCCGAACCGAGCGCGUUUCAUCGCCAUGGCGGAGAAAAAGGUUCCCUCUUUGCCCUUUAUUCCAUUUUACUUGUAUUUUCCCACAGAAAGUUGUAGUCUUUUGUAUUGGAUUACAAUUUGUGAUUGCGAAAGUAAAAUCUUCAAGUGUUUAAGGAAAAGGAGGAUCAGUGCAUGAAUAUGUAAUCUUAAACUACGAGUGAAUCGCAGGAGCAGAUAUUUCUGUUAUGAGAAAUAGUCAUUGGGUAGCUGGGUCUGUCGUUUAUUUAGGCUGAUGUUGUCCUUACUGUUAAUAGUGCACAGUUUGAUACUAAGUUUCCUGUGAUUGUGACUGUACAGAAGCUUUACUCUUUUAACUCUGGAUUCACCCACAUUAUCCGAUCAGUUAUUCAUUCCCAUCAUAUAAUCAGGUUUUUGUCACUGUAUUUCUGUUUACAUUUGCUUUCAUGUUACAUAAAUUUGUAUUUGUGUGGUAAUGUUUUUUCUGUAAGGUUCAAAUUGUAGUGAUACAGCAGAUGAUGUCUCAUUCUGAGGUAUGGUAAAGCGACUACACAGAUUUUGUAGUGUAUAAUUUAUCAUCUUUAGUUCUUUUCUGUUUUGGUGAUUCUUGAACUGUAAUAUGUUUUCUUUUUCCCGAUAGAAAAAAUAUUACAAAUAGGAAGUGGAAAACUCUGAUUGCAGCAUGCAAUGUCAACUGAAUGCCCCAAGUUGGUUAAAGCAUUUGCUAUGAUAUUCACUUUUCUCCGAACAUGACAGUUAUGUGUUUCUUAUUGUGCCUGAAUAUUUCAUAACGCAAUGGUUUGGGUAGUUUACUGGGUCUUAACUACCCACUGAUAGAACAAUUUUCGGUGAAUAACAAUAAUUAUUAUCAACUUGGAUGUUUCAUAGCUCAAUAUUUCCCGUAGUUUAUUCCCAUUACAAGACCCAUUCUUUAGUUAUACAUUUUUGUUCUUAUCAUGUCAUGAUCAACAUUGUGUCACAGGUUUAUAAACAAUGUUUUGUUGAAUAUUUCAAGUAUGAAUUCACACACGCAUACUUGUUUAUAUUUUUAACAUUUCCAAAAUACAAGAUUAUUACCGAUAGAUGUGCUGCCAAUUUGGCAAGGAAGAAAAUUUCGGUGAUUACGGAAAUUUCGACCCUCCAAAAUAUGGAAAUUUCGACGGAAAUUUCGAGGAAAUAUCGAUUGCAGUAAAAAAAUGAGAAAAUUGACGGAAAUUUGAAGAAAAACAAGGAAAUUUUAAACCAAACUUUAAGAGAUGUUUGUUUACUAUAUUAUGUACUAUAUUUGAAAUGAAAACCUUGAAUAAACAUUGAUUUAUAGGGAGUUGUAGUAAGUUAAGUUGAAAAGGUUAGUGCUGAACCGUUAAUAAUUCUUAAAAGUUUAUUUUAAACAUUUUUUAUGGUUGGAAACUCAAAAGGAGGCUAAGUCAUCACGCCUUAUAUACAUAUGAUCAUACAUUUCACAUGGAAUUACAUGAGUACUUUAAAACCACGUAGAAUACCUAUGAGAUACAAAAUUUUCACUAUCUUUAUCGUCUCUCUAUGUAGAGUCUUUAGUGUAUCGUGAAAAAUAAUCAUUAAAUGAUAUCUCACUUUUGUAGUUUUGCAUGUAUUGACUUACAUGCCAACCAUAUGAGUCAAGGGGGUUGACUAUGGGUUUCCAUACUUGAAAUUUUGUUUGAAAGGUAAUCAGUAUUAAUUAAGCCAAUUUAGUUUAUGAAACUGCUCUUUGGUUAAACUUUUUUGUGGUCGAGUAUCUCUAUAUCUAAUAUAUAAUAAAUAUGGGAAAGAGAAAUAUAAUAGAUAUGGGUGUUUCUGGGUGAUAUAUCUUUAUCUCUAUCUCAUUUUUUGUAUGUAAUGCCGAUCCUUAUGAAACUCAAUAGGAGAUUAAUUCAUGGCUGAUAAUUUAGUAAUUGGUCUCUAAUUAUGAACUAAUUGCUUAUAUGAUGCAAUAAUGCAGGCAUGAAUAGAGUGAUCCGAUCCAUAGAAAUACAUCUAUAUUAAAACUAUUUUUUCUUUUUAACUUGUAUAUAGUGGCUUCAUGUGAGCCGUUGGAUUGAUCAAAGACUAUAAAGUAUAAACCCUAAAUAAUCAAACAUAAGAUGCAGCCUUCUUGUUUUUUUCCCGUGAAGUCGUGAACCCAGAUCCCAAUUCUCUUUUCUUUCCUCUUCACUCUCUGAUAAGCCUCUGUCUUAAUUUCUUCACUCUCUGGCCAUCACCUCCAUCUCCUUCAUCUCGGCGUCGUCAACACAGGGAGAAAAUUGGAUCUUGAAAUCAGAGGGCACCUAAGGAGAUCGAGCAUCGACGUUCUUCGAUUUGUGUUCUUUGUCGGACGUCGGCGACGGUGGAGGACUGGCGAGCCUUAGACCUCCGAAGAUUCUUGCGCACGUCGUCGUUUUGGAUAUGGUCUUCGUUUUCCAGGUGUUCGUGUUCUUCCUGUGGGAUUUCAAGUUUUCAACUGUUUUCGGCGAGAUUUCGAGUAUUUGGGCUAAAAUAUACACAAGUCAGCUUCAGAAUGUGCUGGCCAGCUCGACGGUCAACUCAUUUUGAUCAAGCUGAUCUGCUUCUAAGCUAGUAAUAAAAGUUCCGGUUGUUUCUCCUGAUAAAUGCCUCUUUAUUCGUCUUACUUUUGUUCUUAUACAUCAUAGUCUAGCUCCUCCUCCUUCCUUCUGCCAGUGAUUUCCACCAAUACACCAUGAUCGGUCUCCUUCAAGGCUUCAACUCAUAAAGCAGAACAUGCACAAGUUCCAUCAGCCAGUUCCACCUAGAAAAAACUUAAACUAGUACCUUCAUCAUCUAACUUGAUAUGGAUGUGCCUUCAUCAUCUUCUUCCAACACUCACACAUUCCCUUCGUCAUCAUCUGGUUCAUCCUCUAAUUGGGAACAUGAUGUGUUCCUCAGUUUUAGGGGCGAGGACACCCGCAAUAAUUUUACAGAGCAUUUAUACCAUGCGUUCAAUCAGAAAGGAAUCAACGCAUUUAGAGAUACUGAAAAGCUUCCAAAGGGGAAAUUCAUUUCACAAGAACUUCUGAAAGCAAUCAAAGAGUCCAAGUUUGCUGUUACUGUUCUUUCGGCCAACUAUGCUACUUCAAGUUGGUGUCUGGAUGAACUAACACAUAUUGUUGAGUGCAAUAAAGUGAGGGGGCUGGAGGUUCUUCCGGUGUUUUAUCGUGUGGACCCAUCUGAGAUACGGAAGCAGACAGGAAACUACGGCGAGGCGUUUGCUAAGUAUUUGAAGGACAAUAUGAGACAGGUGGAGGAUUGGAGGAACGCAUUAAUGUAUAUAGGAAGUCUCUCCGGAUGGCAUGUGACACAGGACAGGUAAUUCUACCUCUAUUAUUCUUCGAAGUAAUUUUAAAUAUUUACUAUAUGUUUUUGACAUCAAACUCUUGACUAUCAGUACAACAUUAAUCAUCAAUAUAUAUUAAACAAUGAGGAUGCUGUUGUGAAACAAAAGUAAAAGAGAUUGAGAAAAGAAAGAAACAACCAAGAUGAUGAGGAAAUUUGUCGUCUAUUAUUGAGUACAAAAAUAUCUUUAACAAGUUAAUUACAUGAAUGUCUACUAACUAAUAAAUAUUUACAACAGAUGUUGAUUUUACUUUUAGUUUUGAUGUGGAGAGUACGUUCAUUUGGGCCGGAAUGAUUUCAUAUUUUCACAAAUCGAUUUGUGAAAAGACAUAUUUUUCUCUUUGUUUCUAAUAAUCAAAACCAAUUUAGAAACCAAUUCAAAAUCCAUUACACUAUCAGAAACAUCCAAUUCGUUACAAGUUCAUCAAAUUGUCUAUGUACAUUAAAGAUAAAAAAUUUAUGAGUUAUAACUAAAUAGCACUGGGAGACUACCCAAAAUGUUAUAAAAUGCUCCUCAGAAUGUAUGUCUUCUUCCCAAAGAGAGAAGAAGAACGUUCUUUUGCAGCAUGCUAAUCAAGGUUACUCCUCUCCCUACUUGUUUUUGUAAGUCACUCCUUUGAUACUGCCCUUUUCUUCAAUUAGUGUUGUCACCGUCACUUGUUUCAAUUUUACACUGUAAAGAUAUUCCAGGGGAUAUGAGAAAGAAGUUGAUACAGAUUGCAUCAAUAUAAAUCAAUUACAUUUAUAAACUGGAGGGAAAUGAGGAACUCAACUGAAGAGGUCAAUCCACAUAAGGUUGGGCUCUAGUAGGUGAACUAACAUACAUUAAUCAAUAAACCUAAGCUUAAAAUUAAAGGAAAGGCCAAUACCGUUUUGUUUAGUGGCAUAAGUCUUUCUUUCUAACUGAGAGGUCGUGAGUUCGACUCACAGUUUUGUAACACAAUAAUUAUGUAUUUAAUAAAAAAAUUAAGGGAAAUGUUGUGCUUGCUAUAUUAGUAAUAUGGAUCAUACAUUGGACCAUUUUAUCUUCUACGAAACGAUAGACAUCUGAGAAUAAGAACAAACUAAAAGAAAGUCAAAAGGGAACAUUUAAAAGAAACAAAUCAAUAAAAUAAAAAGAGAGGAAAUUUUACCAGUUGGAGACUUGGGAGUACAAUCACAACGUCAGAACCAUAGCACCACUUGAAGUACUUCAGACUGAAAAAUAAUUUCGUUUCCCAUCAGAUUAUAUGGCAAUCAAAUCCCCGAGUAGAUAUCUGCAUAGUAAAUAUUACAACCAUGACAAGAUUUCAUGUCAAAUAUAACAAAGAGAAUACGGAUAGGCGACAACGCCAACUUUAAGGUUCAAAUACAUACUAAACAGACCUAAACCAUGGCAAAUAUCGUGCCUCACUUUUAAGGAGUUUACCUUAAGAAGUUGACUCUGAGACUUUUUAUUUCAUGGAAAACUUACUAAAGUAGUAGCACACACACAAAAUUACAAAUAAAUCAAUUAAUAUCAGUAACAGAUCGUACCAAUCUAUUUAAUUAACCUUCCUUCCAAUUCAAACACAUAAAUUCAGGAUCUAAACAGCUGGUCAUGGAAUUCUAGUUGCUAAUAUGAAAGUAUAAAAGGUUUGAAUCAAUCUGUCAGUCAGUAAAAUAUUACAUUCAAAAUCAGACUACUUACCAACAUAUAAAUAUUUAAUACAAGUGAAUUGCUGUAUGAAAAGGAAAAAUUGAAUCAACUAAAAUAAUAAUCUGCGAAAAUAAAUCAACAAGAAUAAUCUGCUGUAAAAUAAAUCAACGAUUAAAAUAAUCAGUAGUAAAUAAAAGCAAUUAUCUGUUUGGUAAUUUGUGCGUUUAAUAAGUUUUAGAUGAUAAAAAACUAAUCAACACGCUUUGUAAUUUUUUAUGUGAAAGUACUGUAUGUAUAAUGACAAAUAUGCACAGGAUGCCAAACUUGUUCCUUGUAUUCUAUAUUUCUGGUAGUUCUACCUACAAAGUUUCUUUAUUCCCUUUUUUGACCAAAAAAAAAAAAAUCUUGAUUCUCUCAUUUUCAUCAAUUUUACAAGCAACACUACAACAACUACAUUGCUGAAGCACAAUAAAAAUCGCCAGAAGUUCAAUGAUCGAAGAGAAAAGCACUCUAUAUUCAGGACAUAAUCGCAAAUAGUUUGACCCAAAUUAGGGGUUGUCAAAAAGCCUGCCCAAUCCGGCCCUACCCAAGCCCUACAGGUUUGGGCCAGGCCAGGCCUCAAACAUGUUUUUUUAAAUUUUAGAGACGGGCCGGGUCGGGUUAUUCAAAAAAAUCAAAACCCAUGGGCCCAAGCCUUAUAGGCUUAUUAGAGCCGGGCCUAUUAUAUACAUAUAUUUAAUAGAAUUUUAUCAAAUAAAACAAAAAACUAUAAAAAUUUAAGAUUUGUUAAUGAUAGAACUAAAUGUAAUAAAAAAUAACAUAAAAAAUGACUUAAUAUAUUAAUUAAUUCACAUAUUUAACUAAUAACUUCAUGAAAAUAUUAAUAAAACAAUUGAAAGGACUUUAGGGCGGGUUUUUGGGAGGGCUUUUUAGAGCCGGGCCGGGUGGGUUUUGAUGGGCAUGUAACGGGACGGGUCGCGAGCAGGGCCGAGGCUUUGAACCCUUCGGCCUAGCCCGGCCUCAUGCCCUAUGGGUCGGGCCCAGAUGGGCUUUUCCACGGGCCCGUGGGCCAAAUGAUGACCCCUAUGUGAUCAAGAACACUAGUGCCCACUUCCUUUCACCCACAAAACUCCAACAUCUACAUUCAAUUGAAAGCUUUUUAAGCACAACAAGAGUCGAUUGAAUGGUUUAACAACAUCAAAAGGAUUGAAAAUAAUAAGCAAUGGAAUUACAGAAGUUGGAAUCUAUCUUAACACCAUUACGAACACGAGAAAGGCCGGACUGAACAACAAUUCCAGCAAAAUUAGAAGAACCACAGAAAUCAUGAACAAGAUUAGAACAAGAUUGUUUCUACAUAUGAAAUCAUAAACAUAUCAAACCCUCAAAUUAGAGAUAAGGGGAAAGAAAGAACGAACGAAUGAAACUUAAAUUAAAUAUACAUGAGUCUCUUAAGGGUAUCACACAAAGAAGAAACCUUGACGUCUGAACUUGAUCUAAAGAGGAAUAACCAACGACGAUGUUGGCAAGGAUUAGAGCGAUGUUAGAUUGAGCUAUGAACAAGACUAGGACAUGUGGGUAAAUUUUAACAGUUAACAUGGUUAUUAUAGGUAUCUUGGUAUUGUUUAUUAAGUCCACCGCUUCUCAACCAACAAUCAAAUAACGCAGAUAUUAAAAAGCAGCUACGAAAUUCGCGGGUUGCGGACGUGUUACUUAUAAAACGCGGAUUCAUUUUAUUUAACCAAACGGCUCGGUGUAUGGAAAAUGGUGAGGAUAAACUACUUUUCCUCCAAAAACGCAAACCCAAACGCAGCCUAAGUCAAAUUUCAAGCCAAAUUUAGCUUACAAAACAAGAAUAUUCUAUAGAAUCUAUUUUUAGCUUACCAAAUUCUCUCAUCAUAAGCUAAUCCUUAGCCAAAUUAAUAGUAUUUUGGCCUAAAGAAGCACUUCCACCGUAAGCUAAAUCCUUAGGUAAAACCAUUUAUUUUUAUUUUGUCAUUUAUUUGUUUAAUUCAAUAAUUAAUCAUGAAAAAAAUUAUAUAAAUAUAUUCGAUAUGGGGCUCAUAUGAAAGAUCUCGUCAAGAUCGUCGCGAUGGUAUAAAAUUUUGUUAGUAAUGAAUUUUCAAUUUAGAUGCUAGUGAAAUUAGAAGAACAAAAUAUAAAGUUUGAAUAAAAUAAUACUUAGUUUUAGCCUACCAAUUCCAUAAGCCAAAUUUGGCUUACAAAAUAGCUCAAGCUAAAUUUUGGGUUAUGGUGGGAGUAAGUAUAGGCUAAAUUUGGCAUUUUAGCCUAUGGUGGGAGAUGGUCUAACCAAAAAUAAUGAAGAUAACAUGAAAAAAUAAGGGUCUCUUAGAUAGUAGCUGUUACUGCCACUUUACCAAAAUUUCGGAACCUAGUUACUGCCACUUUACCUGAUGAAGAUGAAGGAGAUAUUGAUGAUCGAGAUGAAGAUGACAUCCUGGACGGGGGGACCCUAUUUAGAUAGUAGCUGUAACUCAGAAAGCACUUGUGGGGAUAGAUUUGGCCUGAAGUGGAAAUCCCACAUUCAACUUGAACUCUCUGCGCAACAUUCUUCAUACACACCACAAUCUGAGUCACCCAACAUCUCCUUGACACUGACCCAAGGCAUAGACUUGUUGAUAAUAUGUGGUAUAACACUCAUAACCAAGCAAACGGGUUUCUCUGUCGAGCAGUAGCUCAGCAUGUAACCCUCCAGUGGAAUUCCGAAGUUCAUCAUUCUUGAUCGCGAGUUGAAUUUAGAUGAAUGUAGAGCAUGAUAAGACAAACAAAAUCUAGUUAGUCUCAAAGUUCAAUUUGGCUGGAGUAGGCCAGAAUAUGAAAAAUAUGUCAGAAAAGGAUCGUAUCUUCUUUCGUUCAAUUUGUGGUGCAUGGUGAAUAAUAUGGUGCAAGCCAUUUAUAUUUGGAAAGCACAUUCCAAGAUGAAGAGAAUGAGACCGGUUCACGUCUUCAUGACUUGCGUAACCGGAAUCACCACUAGCAAGGCCGAGAAGGUCUGAUAGCGAAUCAACAAAAACUUGGCACUUUUGGGUAAUUAAGGAAAUGGAAAGUUAUAUAUGGCAUUUGUUGUACGUAACAUGGUCUUAUAACUUUUGGGUAAGUUCUUUAUACGGCACAUGAGGUAUGAUAAAUUUGACAGUUCAGUACCUAGCGUUUAGAAGAGCAUACUUUGGUACCUCAACUUAUGCUUCUUUCCGAUAAUUUCUUAGUUAAAUAUGAGGGUAAAAAUAUAAACAUUUAUUUUCUUCCAAGUAGAUACAAAUGCAUGUGAGUUGAUAGUAAUAUAUACUUGUUAACAAAAUUAAGACUCAAACAUAUAACAAAAGGUAGGGAAGUAAAAAUUAAUGAAUCACCUCAAUUUCAUGAUUAACUAUCUGAAAUUAUCACCUUCUAAUUUCAUGUUAUAUAUGCAGGAGGGAAUCGGAAGUUAUUCAAGAAAUAGUUGAUGAAAUUCUAAAGGUACUUAACAGGUUAACUGAUGAUCCUGAAAGAGGGUUAAUUGGAAUGGGUACCCGUAUAAAAGAAAUAGAGUCUCGCCUGGAUCUAGAGUCAAAUGGUGUUCUUACCAUUGGGAUUUGGGGGUUGGGGGGGAUUGGUAAGACCACUCUUGCAAGGGAAGUAUUCAAAAAGAUUCGUAACCAAUUUCAUGUUAGCGGCUUUGUUUCCCAUGUUAGAUCGCGAUCUGAGGUUGAGUUGCAGCAACGUCUUUGUGAAUCCUUUUUGGGGGAUGGCAAUUUUAACAUUGAUACUGUUGAAAAGGGGAUCAAGUUAUUGGAGAAGGCACUGAAAAAGAAAAAGGUUCUGAUCAUUCUAGACGAGGUUGAUAAUUUCAGACAAAUAGAAUGUCUAGCUCCUGGAGGCCCGCUUGGAGAGGAUAUUUGGGGAGGAGGGAGUCGACUCAUAAUAACAACUAGAGACAGGAGCUUAUUGAGAAACUUCAAUGUACAAGACAACAAGAUAUAUGAGGUUGAAAAAUUGAGAGAGGACGAAGCUCUUCAGCUGUUAUGUCAGACAGCCUUCAAGAAGGUCAAUCCCCCAGAGGAGUUUGCAGCGUUGUCCAAGAGUUUGCUGCAAUAUGCUUGUGGCCUUCCUUUAGCUCUUAAAGUUCUAGGGUCGACAACAUACUUGUCUAGACCAAAUGUAGAUGAAUGGUCAGAGAUAUUGCAUAGGCUAGACCAUGAUAAGGAUAAAGACAUUUUCAGUGUGCUGCAAAUAAGUUUUGAUGGAUUACAUGAGACUGAUAAGAAGAUCUUUUUGGACAUUGCAUGUUUCUUCAAUGGUGAGGAUCAUAUCCGUGUAAAAAAUAUAUUGGGAGGUUGUGGCUUUUCUUCCAAAAUGGGUAUAAGCAAUCUUAUUGACAGAUCUCUGAUUAAAAUUGAAGGAAAUAAACUGUGGAUGAAUGAUUUGGUACGGUGCUUGGGUUGGCAUAUUGUUCGUGAAGAAUCUUAUUCUUUUCCGGGUCAACGUAGCAGGCUGUGGCUUGACGGAAGUGCACACAUGUACGAAGGCAGAAGUUCAUGGCGUUCAUGGCGUUCAUGGCGUUUUGAGGACGCUCGUGACGUACUCAUGUACAAUUAUGUAAGGGACAAUUAAUACUACAAAUGAAUUUCAUUCACCCAUGUAUAUAUAAUAUCUAUGUAGGUGGUCUGUGGGCACACACGUACAUGCAUGAUCUACGCUUCUAAAGUUAUCAAUGCUUAUAGGGUAAAUGUAUUUUACAAAUUAUAAUUGAUUCAUACAACUCUUUCUUACAGGGGACAUCAGCUGUUGAAGGCUUAUUCUUAAGCUUGCCUGAAAAAGAAGAAAUGUCAUUGAAGCAUGACCCGUUCUUGAAGAUGUGUGACUUACGAUUGCUGAAGAUUUACAAUGUGAACUUUCCGGAUGUGCACUUUGGAUGUGUCUCUGAAAAGUUAGGACUUUUGGAAUGGCACGGAUGCCCUCUAGAAUCUCUGCCAUCUGAUUUUAAAUCCAAGAAUCUGGUUGAAAUCAAGAUGCCUAGUAGCCGCAUUAAACAACUAUGGAAUGAAAAGGUAUGUUGUUGCUUGGGAUUCGUCCUCAAGUUUGGUUAUUCUAGUUUGCUUUUCUUUUAAAGAUAUGUUAAAUUUUCCAAUUUUUCUCAUCUUUUCUUUUCUUAUUUCAUAAACAGAUAUCUCUGGAAAUGCUAAUACUCAUGGAUCUUUCCAACUGCCAAUAUUUAACAGUGACCCCGGACUUCAGUACGGUUCCGAAUCUUAAGCGGUUGAUCCUCCAAGGUUGUAAGAAGCUGUCAGAGGUAUACUUUACAAUGAGGGAUCUUCACCAUCUGGUUUUUUUGAAUUUAAAGGGCUGCACAAGUCUAAAGAGUCUCCCCCAAUAUAUCAGCAUGUCAUCCCUCCAAACUUUUAUUCUGUCUGGAUGUUCAGAACUCCAAGAGUUUCCAGAGAUUGGGGAGAAGAUGGAUACGUUAUCAGAACUUUAUCUAGAUGGCACGGCUAUUUCGGAGCUACCUGAAUCAAUCCAGCAUUUGAAAGGCCUCAUUUUGCUAAAUCUAAGCGGCUGCAGGAACCUUCUCAGUCUUCCAAGAAUCCUUUGUAGUAGUUUGACAUCACUGAAAUUUCUCCAUCUGUCACUGUGCUCAAGAAUGGACCGUCUGCCGGACAACAUAGGCUGCUUGGAACACUUGGAGGAGCUUGAUGCAUGUAAUACUGCUAUAAGAAAAGUGCCCAACUCCAUUUCUGACCUCAAGAAUCUUGAACUACUGUGUUUUCAUGGCUGCUGUGGACUCGCAGGUUUAGAAUUGCCAAACAAGUUCUCAGGUUUGACGUCUUUGAAAACAUUAAACCUGGGUGGAUGUAGUCUCACAGAAGGAGCAAUUCCCGAAGACAUCGGUGAUUUACUUUCACUGCAGAGUCUGGAUUUAAGUGAAAACAACUUUUUCACCAUACCUAAAAGCAUCUCUCAGCUUUCUGAGCUUACCGAAAUGUCUCUGUUCAAGUGUAGCAAACUACAGUCAUUGCCAAAAGAUCUUCUGUCAAGUAUAAGAAACGUAACUCUAGGCGGUUGUCCUGAGCUGAAAAAUUCUUCAUCUAGUUGGAGGGGAUAUCCACCUCAAAUGGGUUCGAGUAUCAUAAACUGUCGAAAACCAGAGGAGGAGGAGGCUGAAAUCUUUCCUGAACUCCAUAAGGUUUCAUUCUUUCCCUCAAUCACACAGAUUUUGAUAAGAAAAAUUGUUUUACUUAAAGUAUAUCUGUAUAUAUUUCUUGAAUCAGAUUGUCAUCAGGUUCGAUAGUUCUUUUCUAUCCGAUAUUUAUCUAAUUACUGUCUUUUAUACGCACAUGCAGUUUCCUUUGGAAAAUCUGGAAGUACUCGAUCUUUCCUACUUCCAACAGUUGAAGAAGAUCCCAGACUUAAGUGGGGUUCCAAAUCUUAAGAAAUUGAACCUUGAAGGGUGUGUAAAGUUAUCAGAGGUUCACUCAACCAUUGGGUGUCUCCAGCAUUUGGUGUUUCUGAAUUUGAAAGGAUGUGUCGAUCUAGAGAGGCUUCCCGGUUCCAUCAGCUUGAAGUCUCUAAAAAUAUUUGUUCUUUCAGGAUGUUCAAAGCUUAAAGAGUUUCCAAACAUUAAGGGAGAUAUGAACAAUUUGUCACAACUGCAUUUAGAUGGAACGGCGUUAAGGCAUCUGCAAGUACCAGCGACGCAUUUGAAAGGCCUAAUUUUGAUAAGUCUGUCAGGCUGCAGGAACCUUCUGACUGUUCCCAUCGUAUUUGGUCUAAAAUCUCUCAAUCUGUCACGGUGCUCAACUUUAUCCAAAUUGUCACCAAGCCUGGCAAACAUGGAACAUUUGGAGGAAUUUGAUGCCUCUGAGACUGCUAUAAAAGGAUUACCCCAGUCCAUUUCAUAUAUGGAAAAGCUAAAAGUGUUAUCUUUCUGUGGAUGCAAAGGUUUGCAAUUGCCUAAAUGGUUCUCGGAUUUAAGGUCCUUGACAUCAUUAAAUCUACAGAGGUGUGGUUUAGCAGAAGAAGUCAUUGAUAGACUCUACAGCUUAUCUGUUCUUCAGAUUUUGGAUUUGAGUGGAAACAAUCUUUCGAUCAUACCUAAUGGAAUUGGUCGCUUAUCCUCCUUGAAGCUUUUGAAUUUGAGUGAGAACAAUUUUGACGAUAUACCAAAUGAAAUCGGUCACUUGUACUCUUUGCAGGUAUUAGAUUUGAGUGAAAACAACUUCAUGAGUCUACCUGAGAGCAUCUCUCAUCUUUCUGAGCUUACAGAACUACGCUUGUUUCGAUGUAGUAAGCUACAGUCCUUGCCAAAUAAUCUUCUCUUCAGUCUAAAACUUGUCCAUGCACAAGAAUGUCCUCUGCUGAACUAUAAUGCAGAUACCUUGACAAUAUGGCCAUCAGGAAGAGGGUUCUGUUUCAUAAAUUGCAGACAAUCUGACCAGGAUGAUGGUCAGCCAAAACACCUCAAAGUUCCAGUUCGCAAAGACCAUAUUGAACUACUAUUUCCUACAUACAUUAAGGUCUCUCUCUCUCNNNNNNNNNNNNNNNNNNNNCUCUCUCUCUCUCUCUCUCUCUCUCUCUCUCUCUCUCUCUCAUAUGCGAUCAAGUUUCUUAAACUUUCACUUUUCUUUUUCUACAGGACCGACUUUAUGGCAAAAAACCAUUUGAAAUUCGUUUUCCACACAGUACAAGAAUUCCAAAUUCGUGGAGUCGUUGGGAGAAUGGCCCUUCUGUGACAAUCCCACUCUCUGAUGUUAACAGUACGUGGAUGGGACUUGCUCUUUUUAUUGUUUUUGAAAUCCUUGAGCAAGACAUUUUCAACAAGAGCUGGGAAUUCGAGAAGACUGUCUGUGAAUUCCACACCGAGGUUGGACAUGAUACUUCCCUUGUUUUUCAAAACUUCAUGGACUUCACUACUGGGUCAUAUGGACUUUGUUGCUAUGAACCACGAGGUGGGCAAUUUAGUAGGUUGUUUGAUAAACCUAGCUCAUGGCUUCGAGCUUCAGUUUCAACAAAGAGACCGAAUUUAAAACUGAGAGGUUGCGGGAUACAUCUAAUAUCAGAGGAAGAUGCUGCAGAGUUUGUUCAAAGUUUAGCCUAUCAGACUGCUACUCAACAUCUUGAUUUUAAUUUUGAUCGACAUUGCGAGUGCAUAUUAGAUGAGGAAGCAACUGCUGACCUGAUGGAACAGGGAUCUACUUUAACUUUUAGUGAAGAUAGCUGCAGCGAAAUUAACUCUAAACUCAGAGGAGAGCUGUCUAUACUCUAUGAGGUUUUGUGUCUCUGUCUCUCUGUUUCUCUCUCCCAUAGAUAAUUCUGUAUGUCUACUAGGGUGACUAAUUUAAUUCACCUAAUAACGGGACUAACUUUAUGCUUUAACAGGGAGGCAAUGGACGUGAGAAGAGUUUCUAUUUUUGCUUUCCUGCUUCAGUAAUUUCAACCCCGACCUGGUUCUUCCAUCAGCAUGCAGGGAAUGUAACAUUGUGUUCCAUCACUGAAAACUUAUUUGAUGAUCAGAGAUGGGUGGGACUAGAACUGUAUGUUCAAUUUGUGCGGUGUACAUCUACUUCAACCUGUGGCAACAGUAGUUUCUUCUUUUAUAUUGAUUUGUGCUCUAAUGAUCAUGGAAGUAUAGUAAUGCAAGGAACCCUCAAGAUAUACAGUUGUGUUGGGAUGUCAGAUCAACUUGUUGUAUUACAUGUACCACGUGUUCAUUUUCAACAACAGUUGAAUCAAUGUCAGGGUAUUAGCGCACAGUUCAGAAUUAUUCAUGCAGAAAUGGAGGUCCAUGUGUGUGGAAGCCGUUUAGUUUUCGAGCAUGAUUUGGAAGACUUGACCCAUUCAUUAACAGCGGCUGUCGGCACGAUGGGGCAACAUUUCCUCCCUGAACUAUGCUCUCAGGCCCAACCUGUUGAUAGGCGCGAUGCAGAUGAAGCAGAAAUGCCCAUCAAUUGCGGUUCCUGGUUUCGAAGGUUGAACUAAUUCCUAAUUUGCUGCAGAGAAAAGUUUUAUUUGCUAAUGCAUCACUUAAGUCUCCAAAUAUAACUUUUGCAGAAGUAUUGCACAAGAACAAGCUCCUUCUUCAAUUGUGCGGCUGCGAAAUCAUAGAUGCCAUCUUCCACAACAGCAACGUUUGGGGGAGCCUGGCCUUACCCAAUUGGUACAUUUUAGAUCAGUAAUAUUACUCCACUCCAAAAGCAUUUUGGAAAACAGGGAUAUAAACCAAGAAAACUUUGCUGAAGAAGAUGAAUCGUUGGUGUUCGCUCGUCAUCAUGUACAUAUAACGGCUGAGACUCAACUUCAGGGAAGCUAUAGUUCACAACAGUGGAAGAAAUGCCUGAAGUUGUUGCUUCGACAGUCCAAGGUGGCUACUCUCAGUCUCGGUGGACACACAAUUUCAGCUCACAAGAAUUUUGAUCCUUCCUCCCCAUACAAUAUUAUUUGUUUCUCUGACAAGGAAAUUCCAGUGUGGUUCAAACAUGGGAUGUCGUAUCAGAUGUCUUCUAGAUCUAGGGUGGGAAUCAAACUACCUCCAAGAUUGCACUUGGAUGAGAAUUGGAGAGGACUUGCUUUAUGUGUUGCCUUUGAAGUUCAAGAACAGGGGGCAACUACUUCCCCACAGCCAGUCAAACUUCUCUGUCACUUGAGAGCCAAGGACAACUAUUGCUUGAAUCCCAUUCCCAUGUGUUCCAUCACUGAAGAGAAACUCAAGUCAUUGCAUCUUGGUAGAUUCAUUUGGCUGACUUACAUACCCCGUGUUUUGCUAACGGAGUUCAAUGUGGUAAGUGAUGUAGAGGCCAGAAUCUAUGCUAGUCGCAGAGGCUUGAGAGUGGUGAAGUGUGGUAUACGUCUCUUGUACCGGCAAGAAGAGGUGGAGUUCAAGAACACAAUAACCGAGUGCUGGACCUCUUUCUUCGACAAUCUGUCUUUCAUCCGUCAACUUGUAGAAGCAGACGAUCACAAUGGUCAACCAUGGAUAAGGCAUGAACUUUCUAUGCUUGGUGACCAUAUCAAGGUCUGUUUUCCUCCCUCGAUCUGUCUUUUCCAUUAUAUCCAUUUAACACUGUCAUAGUUACACAAAUAUGCAUUUUAUUAUUAUCUUGUAGGUCUUUGAUCCAAGUUUAAUGUAUAAUGCAAUUCGCCGUUCUAUUGAAAUUCCUGAGUCGUUUGGGCAUGGCAUUGUCCACAUGGACCAGUAUAACAGCACGACAUGGGAAUUCCAGUUACCACCAUCUUUUAAUGGCACAAAUUGGAUGGGAUUGGCUAUCUGUGCAUCAUAUAGUAUGCAGUAUGUUGGACGUGAAUCUUCACCCUUUAUUUUAGCAUUGCAAACUGAAAACAAUGGUCUGUCAUCUCUGCAUCGGUAUCAGAUGACAAAUGAAGAAUCUAAGUUGGUAAAUCGGUUGGUAACGAGUCGGUAUAAUGUGAAUGGUGAAUUCAUUUGGCUCUCCUACAUACCACGACGCUGGUUUCUACAUCAGCUAAAUCAUGAGUCCGUCCUCAUUGCUUCAACUCGUGAUCGGAUCAGCUGGACGAAGCCGUACUUGGUCCGUAUCCGUUUUGUGUAUGCUAAUGACGUGCAAGACUUUAACGGUGUGUUUAGAUGCGGAUGAAUUCUCAUGAAUUUUAUAAAAAAUGAGAAAUUCUUAAUUGUUUUGGACUUUUUCCACCGUUUGGAUUCUUAUACCGUGGAAUUUGCAAUUUUCACGGGAAAAUAAUUAUGGAAUUUGGGAGCUUAAAUUUCCGACUUAAAUUCCUUACAAAAUAUGUGUCAUUUAUCAAUUCCCUCAACUGAGGUUAGUCUAAAUACUAAUUCUUGUCAUUUUAAAAUUCUACAUCUUGAAAUCUAAACAGUUGAAUUUUCAAUCAAUAGAUUUUUUUUUGUGUGUGUGGAGAAAAAGGCUGGUGCGGCUGUCCUUAAGCCUUGAUUAAUGAAACUAUCGAAUACAGGGGGGGGGGGGGAGGACUUUGAGCCUAAACCUCUGAUUAUAAAGACCUGAACUAAUAUCAGCAGUCUCUACAAACAUGUACUAAACUAGGCACCGACUAGCAAAAAGUGCUCUAAUGCUGCUCCUAGCAAAUAGUGCUUUAAUGUUGCUCUAUUUGCUUUAACAUAGUGGUGACAUAAUGAAAAGUUAACUCGACUAUUGCAAAACAUAAUUUCCACAAGUUUAUGCAAUUGUAAUUCUCAUGACUUUAAAAUUUCUACAUUAUUUAAUCCAGACACAAUGUAAGCAGCUCUGUUUUGAUCUUGGUCGACCACAUGUGGAAUGGUGAAAUUAUCACUUUUUGAGGUGGGCAGGUAAAAUAUGGUGGGCAGAUUUGUAUCUCAGAAUAUGGGAUUCUAUUUUUUGUAUUUGUACCUUCAAUCAACUUUUUGAAGGUGGGCUGGAUACCCGUUAGGUAGUAUCCCAUGUUAUUAUUAUUAAGAGAAAGAUCGUACAACGAGGGGGCUAUUGCCUAAACCUCAUGAGAUAUUACAACCAUCCUCUAUAAAAAUAUUUUGAAUAAUAUCAGGAGGCUCGUCAACCCAGAACGUACUCAUCUAACCUCGAUCUAGCAAGGUGUGUCAGUCUAUGCGCCACACUAUUUACUUCUCUAUAAAUGUGACGAAGUAAUAUAAAUAUGAAAGCCUCCAUAUAAUGACAACAAUCAGACAAAAUAGAACUGACAUCAAUCACAUGACCAUGUGUAGUGCUAAAAAUCAAGGUUUAGAUAGAUAAUAAAAUCUUGAAAGUAAAGCAACAAUGGUGAAAAUUGAAAACAUAACUAGAGGUUGAAGAAGAAGAAACAAAGAGAAGAUGGGUAGCAAUUUUUGUAUGAGAAAAUGAUGCGAUCAGUUCUUGAAAAUACUGAGAAAGAACUCAAAUUUAUUCUACAGUUGGUUACAUCUGAUAGCAAAAGCAAGCAAAAUAUGACUUGUUCUCUAAACUGCUGAUGUCACGGUUAAGAAUGAACCGGGCCUGCUAGAUAUAAACUGGGCUUAAUAUGUAGUAGGCUAGUAGCCAAUGCCUUCAUAAACAGUUGCACAAUCGCCCUCAAUAAACUUAAUCACUCUUUACUGUUUACUCCUCUGUUUGUUCCAGCUCUAAUAUGUCCCGUCUGAACAUUUUUUCACUUAUACUUUUUGUUCAGAAGAAUGGUUCACUCUCGAAAAACUUAUUCAAUCUGUGAAAUAACAAAUUUCAAUUAAAUCUGAAACAGUGCACUAUUCUAUCUAGUCCCCUCUAUACACUAUACUUGUCUGUUUUAUAAUAUUGUGAUGGCCGGCACCCAUGAUCAUUGUUUUUGCCGUCACUUUCCAUUGGCUUCUGUUCUAGCUUCACUCCAGCGGAUUCUACCAAGACCACCUUCGUCUCCUUCAACCCAUAAUUCGAUCAUUCCACCAACACCCAAAGCACAAGAUGAAAUCUUUCGAGUCCAAAUAGUACCCUCCAUUAUCUUCUUCUUCAUAGUCUCGUAUGGAAGUAGCUGCUUCAUCGUCUUCAACAUCUAGUCCACCCUCUAAUUGGGAGCAUGAUGUGUUCCUCAGUUUCAGGGGCAAGGACACCCGCCAUGGUUUCACAGACCAUUUAUACUUUGCUCUGAAUCAGAGAGGAAUUGACACAUAUAGGGAUGCAGAGAAACUUCCAAGGGGAAAAUACAUGUCUUUAGAACUUGUGGAAGCAAUUCAGGAGUCAAGGUUUGCCGUCAUUGUUCUUUCAGCUAACUAUGCCACUUCAAGUUGGUGUUUAGAUGAGCUUGCUCAUAUUCUUGAAUGCAAGAAAGUGAGGGGACUGGAAGUUCUUCCGGUUUUUUACCAUGUAGAGCCAUCCGAGAUAAGGAAGCAAGCUGGAAGGUUGGGAAUGGAGAUCGCCAAGCAUGAGACAGAUUUCUUGGAGAAGAGGAGGAAGGUGGACACGUGGAAGGAAGCUUUGAAGGAGAUAGCCAGUCUCUCCGGAUGGCAUGUCACCAAGGACAGGUAAUUCUAGCUACUUUUCUUGGUUAACUUAAACUUGUUUUUGAUAUAGGAAAUAAGGUGAAUUUGAUUUCUAGUGUCAGUAUAUAAUUGUUCUACUUUUUAUAGUUAUGGCUGAGGAUAGUAUGCAGUUGUUGUCAAAUUUUUAGGGGAGAAUCAGAAGUUAUACAGGAAAUAGUUAAAGGGAUUUCAGACAUGUUGAACAACAUGUUAUGCACCCCGGACAGAGAUUUAAUUGGGAUGGAUGCACGUAUUGAGAAAAUGGAGUGGUACCUGGAUCUAAGGUCGAGUGAUGUUCUUGCUGUAGGGAUUUGGGGGAUGGGGGGAAUUGGUAAGACAACUCUGGCAAAAGAAGUUUUCAAAAAGAUUCGUAACCAAUUUGAUAUUAGCGGUUUUGUUUCCGACGUGAGAUUGUAUUCAGAAGAAAAGGCUCUAGUUGAGUUGCAGAAACUUCUUUGUGGUUCCUUCUUCGGGGACAGCAAUAUAAAUAUAGACACUGUCGAAAGAGGGAUCAGGUUAUUGAAGAAGGUACUAUGCAAGAAAAAGGUGCUUAUCGUACUAGAUGAUGUUGACAAACUUAAACAACUGAAAGAUUUAACACCUGGAAUGCAUAAUGAAGAGAAUUCUUGGGCGCCAGGGAGUCGACUCAUUAUAACAACUAGAGAUAGGCGCAUAUUGACAGAAUGUGGAGUACUGGAGUCUAAAAUAUAUGAGGUUGAAAAACUGAGUAAUGUAGAAGGAUUUCAGGUCAUAUGUCAACAAGCCUUCAAGAAAAACUAUCCACCCGUUGAGUUUGUAGAGCUGUCCAAGAGUUUCGUAAAAUAUGCCAGUGGCCUUCCUUUAGCUCAUAAAGUUCUAGGAUCACACUUGUAUGGUAGGGAGAUAGAUGAAUGGUUAGAGGUAUUGUAUAGACUGGACGAAGAGCUGGAUAAAGAUAUUUUUAGUGUGCUCCAAAUAAGUUUUGAUGGAUUACAUGAGACUGAUAAGAAAAUCUUUUUGGACAUUGCAUGUUUCUUCAAUGGUGAGGAUCAUGUUCGUGUAAAAAAUAUAUUGAAAGGUUGUGGCUUUUCUUCCGGAAUAGGCAUAACUAACCUUAUCAAUAAAUCUUUGAUUAAGAUUGAAAGGAAGAAACUGUGGAUGCAUGAUUUACUGCGGUGCUUGGGUUGGCAUAUUGUCCGUAGAGAAUCUGUUGUCCCAGGUAAACGUAGCAGGUUGUGGCUUGAUGGCAAUUCAUUUGACUACAAACGCAGAAGGUUAUGGCAUGUGGAGGAUGCUCGCAAUGUAAUCACGGAAAAUACAGUAAGGCUCAGAGUUAAUACUACUUUAUAUCCACACACACGUGUACAUAUAUAAAUAUUUAUAAUGCACGGUUCUUAAGCUUGUGUUAUUAAUUCAUAUAGGUUCUAGCUUGAGUUUUUACUUUACAAAUCAAUUGAAUCUUGAAUGGGUGCAUUUUUUGUGUAGGGAACAACUGCUGUUGAAGGCUUGUUCUUAAGCUUGCAUGAAAAAGAAGAAAUACGUUUGAAUGAAGACCCGUUCUUAACUAUGCACAACCUAAGAUUGUUGAAGAUUUGUAAUGUGAACUUUCAUGAUGUGCAGUUCACCUAUCUUUCUAGAAAAUUACGGUUUUUGGAAUGGCAUGAAUGCCCACUAGAAUCUUUGUCAUCUUGCUUUACACCGGAUUCACUAGUAAGCUUGGUUGAAUUAAAGAUUCCUAACAGCCGCAUUGAACAAGUAUGGAAUGGAAGGGUAAGAUUAUUCUUGCUAGUUUAGUCAUCAAACAUUUUUCUUGUUAGGAUCGUUUAUUGUAGUUCACUUGCUUUUUCAAUAUAUGCGAGUAUGUUAUGAGUACUAAUUUUCUUCUCACUUCUUCAUAAACAGAUAUCUCUGGAAAUGCUAAUACUCAUGGAUCUUUCCAACUGCCAAUAUUUAACGUUGACCCCGGACUUCAGUACGGUCCCGAAUCUUGAGCGGUUAAUCCUCCAAGGUUGUAAGAAGUUAUCAGAGGUUCACCAUACAAUCGGGAAUCUUCAGAAACUGGGUCUUUUGAACUUGAAAGGCUGCACAAGUCUAGAGAGUCUCCCCCAAUAUAUUGGCUUGUCAUCUCUCCAAACUUUUAUUCUGUCAGGAUGUUCAAAACUCCAAGAGUUUCCGCAGAUUUUGGAGAACAUGGAUACAUUAUCAGAACUUUAUCUAGAUGGCACGGCUAUUUGGGAACUACCUGAAUCAAUCCAGCAUUUGAAAGGCCUUGUUUGGCUAAAUCUAAGCGGCUGCACGAACCUUCUCAGUAUUCCAAGCAUCAUUUGUAGUAGUUUGACAUCCCUGAAAUUUCUCUAUCUGUCACUGUGCUCAAGUAUGGACAAUCUGCCGGAUAACAUAGGCUCCUUGGAACACUUGGAGGAGCUCGACGCAUGUAAUACUGCUAUAAGAAAAGUGCCCGAGUCCACAUCUCACCUCAAGAAUCUUAAACUAUUGUGUUUUCAUGGCUGCUCUGGAUUCACAGGUUUAGAAUUGCCAAACAAGUUCUCUGGUUUGAGGUCUUUGACAACACUAAACCUAGGUAGAUGUAAUCUCAGAGAAGGAGCAAUCCCUGAUGACAUUGGUUAUUUAUUCUCAUUGCAGAGUCUUGAUUUAAGUGAGAACGACUUUUUCACCAUACCUGAAAGCAUCUCCCAGCUUUCUGAGCUUUCAGAAAUUUCUCUGUUUAGGUGUAGCAAACUACAGUUGUUGCCAAAAGAUCUUCCGUCAAGUCUAAGAAAUGUAAAUGUACGUGGUUGUCCUAUGCUGACAAAUUCUUCGUCGAGUUGGAGGAGAUAUCCUCCUCAAAAGGGUUUGAGUAUCAUAAACUGUCGGAAACCGGAGGAGGAGGAGGAGGAGGAAAUCUUUCCUGAACUCCAUAAGGUCUCUCUCUCUCUCUCUCCCUUCUUCUAAAUAUAUUUGAUUUUCUUGAAUCAGGCUGUUAUCAAGUUCAAUUGUGCUUUUCUAUCUGAAAUUUAUCUAAUUACUCUCUUUUACACGUACAUGCAGUUUCCUUUAGGAAAUCUGGAAGUACUCGAUCUUUCCUACUGCCAACACUUGAAGAAGGUCCCUGACUUGAAUGGGGUUCCAAAUCUUAAGAAACUGAACCUUGAAGGUUGUGAAAAGCUAUCUGAGGUUCACCCUACAGUUGGGCGUCUCCAACAUCUGAUUGUUCUGAAUAUGAAAGGAUGUGUUGAUCUAUUGAAAUUUCCCCGUUCCAUCAGCUUGAAGUCUCUAAAAUUAUUUGAUCUUUCAGGAUGUUCAAAACUGAAAGAGUUUCCAGAGAUUAAUGGAGAUAUGGGGAAANNNNNNNNNNNNNNNNNNNNCUUCUAGGUCCAGGGUGGGAAUCAAACUACCUCCAAGAUUGCUUGAGGAUAGGAAUUGGAGAGGACUUGGUGUAUGUGUUGCCUUUGAAGUUCAUGACCAGAUUGCAACUACCUCCCCAGGGCCGGUCAAACUUCUCUGUCACUUGAGAGCCAAGGACAACUAUUGCUUGAAUCCUAU
rnacentral:lncRNA from 1 species